UUGGUUUUUAGGAAUUCAAUAAAAAAUGAGGGUACUCCAUUAAGAAUUUUCAUGUUUUUGAAUGAAUAUGCGAAUAUUGAUAUGUUCUUUCCAUGCAUGAACCGCCAUUCAGCAUUUAAUUUACAGUAUUUCGUGCUCAUCCCUACACUGUUGCUGUUGGGACUCGAUAUGUGAAUUAUAUGGCUGGGAUAGGGUGGCCUCAAAAUCAUCAUCUCUCUCGUUUUCUCUUUGAAUAAUAUGGAUUAAAAAAAAAAAAAAAACAAAU
rnacentral:lncRNA from 1 species